GGUCGCUUCUCGCAGGCGGCGCGCUUGCUGAGUGAUAGUGAGGCGGCUCCGCGCAGGCGCAGCCGGGCGGGCGAGGAGCGGGGAAGCUGACUCAGGGCUGCGGCCGGGGUCCUGCGGGGUAGGAGCGCGAGGCCGGCCUGAGGGAGGAGGCCUAGCGACCCAUCCGGCGCCUCCCGCCCCGGGCACCCGCCCAUGGCCGCGCAUCCUGCGGGCCCCAGGAGGCCUCCAUCUCAAAACAACGUGUUUUUAGGCACAUGACAGCCUUCUUGCAAUCAAGAAACUACGUGUGGCCAGGAUCCCAUCCACUAUCACAGUUUCAGCUUCCCCCAAACUGGAAUAUGUCUUUGCAGAUUCCCAUCCUUAUUAAAGGGCAAAGACUUCUCAUACACCUAGGAUGGAUCAUAUAUUCUUGGCGGGACUGCAGAGAAGGUGCCGUGUCCUGGGUCCUCAUGUCGGGGCACAGGCUUCCAGCCAAUUCUACCUGGGUUAUGUUUAUCUCAAUUCCCUGGUGGUAUUGGUGUCUGCUGGGUUUUGCCAGAAUGAAGACACCGUGUUUUCAUUUGUCAGUUGAUUCGUAUUUUCCAGGAAGACAUUCUGAGAUUACAGCAUUGUCUUAGUCAAGGUGCUGCAGAGGGACAGAACUAAUAGGAUAUAUGUACAUAUGAAAGAAAGUUUAUGAAGAACUGGCUCACACCAUCACAAGGCAAAGUCUCAUGACAGGCCGUCUGCAAGCUGAGGAGUGAGGAAGCCAGCAGUGGCUCAGCCGGAGUCCAACAGCCUCAAACGGAAUCCGACAGUUCAGGCUUCAGUCUGUGGCCAAAUGCCCAGAGACCCCGGAAAGCUACUGGUGUAAGUCCCAGAGUCCAAAGGCCAAAGAACCUGGAGUGUGAUGGCCAAGGGCAGGAGGAAUGGACAGAAGCAUCCAGCAUGGGGUAAAGACGAAAGCCAGAAGACUCAGCAAGCUAGCUUACCUACCUUCUUCUACCUGCCUUGUUCUAGCCGCGCUGGCAGCCGGUUGGAGGGUGCCCACCCCCACUGAGGGUGGAUCUUCCUCUCCUAGUCCACUGACUCAAAUUUCAGUCUCUCUGGGAGCACCCUCACACCAGAAACAAUACCAGCCAUCUAGCCACCCUUCAGUUCACCAUCACAACCAUUGUCUUAUUCAUGAAACCUCUGCAGACCCACCUGAACCUCCGUCGGUGACUUCUACCUCAAGCCCUCUGAUUGUUGCCCAGUGGUGCUUUUUAAAAUAAUUUCCAUAGUUUCUUCUACACCUUUAGUUGGUAUUCUACUGUAAAGGAGAGAUUUUCUUACUCAUUUAUUUGUUAGUUUAUAGUCACCACCAUAUGGAUGCAGAGUUCUGUCUCAUUCACUGGGGAGUAUUCUACUGCAGUCA
rnacentral:antisense_RNA from 1 species